UACGUAGGGGGGCUAGCGUUGUCCGGAAUCAUUGGGCGUAAAGCGCGCGUAGGCGGCCUGGUAAGUCCGCUGUGAAAGUCAAAGGCUCAACCUUUGAAUGUCAGCGGAUACUGCCAGGCUAGAGUCCGGAAGAGGCGAGUGGGAAUUCCUGGGUGUAGCGGUGGAAUGCGCAGAUAUCAGGAGGAACACCAACGGCGAAGGCAGCUCGCUGGGACGGUACUGACGCUGAGGCGCGAAAGCGUGGGGAGCAAACAGG
rnacentral:rRNA from 1 species